rnacentral:tRNA from 1 species
GAUUUCUUAACUAUAAAUAAAGUAUGUAUUUUGAAAAUACAAAAAAGAUAUUCAUCUAGAAAUCU